UACGUAGGGCGCAAGCGUUGUCCGGAAUUAUUGGGCGUAAAGAGCUCGUAGGCGGUCUGUCACGUCGGAAGUGAAAACCCGGGGCUUAACCCCGGGCUUGCUUUCGAUACGGGCAGACUAGAGUGUGGUAGGGGAGACUGGAAUUCCUGGUGUAGCGGUGAAAUGCGCAGAUAUCAGGAGGAACACCGGUGGCGAAGGCGGGUCUCUGGGCCACUACUGACGCUGAGGUGCGAAAGCGUGGGGAGCAAACAGG
rnacentral:rRNA from 1 species